rnacentral:rRNA from 1 species
GAUGAACGCUAGCGGUAGGCUUAACACAUGCAAGUCGAGGGGUAACAUGACUGUUUACAGUUGAUGACGACCGGCGCACGGGUGCGUAACGCGUAUGCAACCUGCCUUAUACAGGAGAAUAGCCCCGAGAAAUUGGGAUUAAUGCUCCAUAGUAUUAUUUAAACACAUGUUUAGAUGAUUAAAACUACGGUGGUAUAAGAUGGGCAUGCGUAUGAUUAGCUAGAUGGUGAGGUAACGGCUCACCAUGGCGACGAUCAUUAGGGGUCCUGAGAGGGUGAUCCCCCACACUGGUACUGAGACACGGACCAGACUCCUACGGGAGGCAGCAGUGAGGAAUAUUGGUCAAUGGAGGCAACUCUGAACCAGCCAUACCGCGUGAAGGACGACGAUUCUAUGGAUUGUAAACUUCUUUUAUAUAGGAAGAAUAAGAACUACGUGUAGUUUGAUGACUGUACUAUAUGAAUAAGCACCGGCUAACUCCGUGCCAGCAGCCGCGGUAAUACGGAGGGUGCAAGCGUUAUCCGGAUUUAUUGGGUUUAAAGGGUCCGUAGGCGGGCUUAUAAGUCAGUGGUGAAAUCCUGUCGCUUAACGAUAGAACUGCCAUUGAAACUGUAGGUCUUGAAUUACUUGGAAGUAUGCGGAAUGAGUAGUGUAGCGGUGAAAUGCAUAGAUAUUACUCAGAACACCGAUAGCGAAGGCAGCAUACUACGAUUAUAUUGACGCUGAUAGACGAAAGCGUAGGUAGCGAACAGGAUUAGAUACCCUGGUAGUCUACGCAGUAAACGAUGGAUACUAGUUGUUGGAUUAAUUGAGAUUCAGUGGCUAAGCGAAAGUGAUAAGUAUCCCACCUGGGGAGUACGAUCGCAAGAUUGAAACUCAAAGGAAUUGACGG